rfam:Parcubacteria (Adlerbacteria) bacterium GW2011_GWC1_50_9 TY61_C0031, whole genome shotgun sequence.
GCCGGAGUGGUGAAAUUGGUAUACACGCUGCGUUCAGAGCGCAGUUCCCGAAAGGGAUUGGAGGUUCAAAUCCUCUCUCCGGCA